UUUUUUUUUUUUUUUUUGUAGAGAUGGGGGUCUCACUUCAUUGCCCAGGCUGUUCUCAAACCCCUGGGCUCAAGCGAUGCUUCCGCAUCGGCCUCCCCAAGUGCUGGGAUUACAGGUGUGAGCCACUGCAUCUGGUCUGUUUAUUCUUUCUUAGUGAGACUUAAAAUAACUGUGCAUCUUGAAACUGAUGUACAGUAAACAGCUGCAUCAGUCAGCCUCCUGGGAGAAAUCCCAUGGCAUACAUGAAAGAGGUCAUGAGUUUAAAACGGGAAUAUUUACAGAGGUGUGAGUCAGUGAAGGGAAGCCAACAAGGGAAGGUGCAGUGUCACAGGGCUGGUGACAUCCUGAAGGGCAAGGAGAGAGAGGGGUUACCAAAACUGGAGAGAGGCUGCAGGAGAGGGUAGGCUGUCAGAAGCUGCAGUCACUGGUAGGAAAAGGUCUAGGGGAAUAAAUACCCAACCUCAGUCUCAAGGUACCCUCUGAACUUGUGCCUACAUCUACCGUUGUGGGAACUCACCGGGAGCAGGGGUCAAGGAGUACUUGAAUGGCGUCCACAGAGACCAGAGAACAGCGUGGAGGGUCGGGGUGGGCCUAGGGGGAAAAUGGAAACCGCCCGGGGAGCACGGAACUGGGAUCCUGGUGUGCUGCUUCUGUGCACCUAACCACAGUACUAUACACUCAGGCCCCCAGGGAAAGGCAGCUGACCAGGUGGACAGGGUGUCCUGAGCUCCAGGCCGAUUUGAGAAAGCCACUGGUUCUCCACAAUCAGUGGACUCAUGUGCCCCAAUCCCACCCACGUGGCCAGGUCGAGCCUUUGGCAGCUGUCCCCACCUCUCCCCCAUCCCCUUAGCACCUGAUUUACAAUGUGGAACCCUGUGUGGGGAGAAAUGAAAUGUCUGCUACAGCCAAAACUUGGCUCCAGGAAAGCAGACAUCAGCUCACACACCCGAUGAUGGACAGCGGGACCUCGCGGUGCGGCGUGUUUACAGCUUACAAGGGUGAGUUGUGCGUAUUUCGAACUUGGCCCUGACGCCUACUUGCCCAAUCCACUUGUUGGGCGGCAUCUCUUCUGAUUUAGAGCUCUGGAUCUGCCCAUUUGAUUUCUGAAGCUAACUCUUGGGUUUGCCAAAUCUGCAGCAGGUCUGGGCUCACGGGAUCUGUGCAUGGCAGAGGCUAGGUCACCAUUCUAGCCCUCCGACCAGAACUUACAGACUGAGAAAGGGAAGGUGCUGGCCCCAGGUCACAGCACAUGAGGGAGAACGAAAACCCUGGGCGCUGUGGUCUGUUGCCUGUGUUCAGGGCUCAGCUUGGCCUUAGAUCCUUAGGCAAAGGACCUAAAUCUUGUCCUCAGUUUCCUGGUCUGCAAAAUGUGGGUGAUAAUAACACCUGCUUCACAGGGUGAUUGUGAGAAUCAAAUCAGCUAUGAGCCAGAGGGGCGGUGAGCAACUUUGAGCAGUACCUGGAGCUGGUUCAUGUCCAUGACCACAGUGAGCUAGCCCAGAGUAUGCCCUCAGUGUUUGUUGAGUGACUUCAUUAGUGUGAAGGGCUUCAUGGACUGUCACGUGUGGACAUGCUACUGGUUAUGUUAAUUAGUGCUCUGUGACAGGGCUGG
rnacentral:lncRNA from 1 species